rnacentral:rRNA from 1 species
UCGAGCGAGAAUCCCCGCAAGGGGAGGAAAGCGGCGAAAGGGAGAGUAAUACGUAGGUACCUGCCCUCGGGCCUGGGAUAACUGCGGGAAACCGCAGCUAAUACCAGAUGACGUCCGUGGACCAAAGGUGUGAUUCCGCCAGGGGAUGGGCCUGCGUCCUAUCAGCUAGUUGGUGUGGUAAAGGCGCACCAAGGCAAAGACGGGUACGGGGUGUGAGAGCAUGCCCCCGCUCACUGGGACUGAGACACUGCCCAGACACCUACGGGUGGCUGCAGUCGAGAAUCUUCCGCAAUGGGCGCAAGCCUGACGGAGCGACGCCGCGUGCGGGAUGAAGGCCUUCGGGUUGUAAACCGCUGUCAGUGGGGAGCAAAUGGAUAGGGGUUCUCCCCUAUUCUUGAGCGAUCCGCAGAGGAAGCACAGGCUAAUUCCGUGCCAGCAGCCGCGGUAAUACGGAAUGUGCAAACGUUA